GUCAAAAAAUUUAUAAGUGUCUUGCAACUGUUAUAAGACUUGAAAAUUGUUAUUGCCCUCGCCCACGCCGUAGGCGUAGUCUAUAGGCGAGGGUACUGCGCUCGUGCUGUCAGUGUGUGUGUUUGUGUGUUAGCAAAAAUUUCAAUCAUGGAUGAUUUUUUGGCUGAUGCUACUUUUUAGUCAAGCUCUUCAGAGCAUUUCUUUUGCCAAUUAGGUGGCAAAAGUCGGCAGCGUUUAAAAACAGAAAAAGUUAACUAGUAACUUUUGCAUAGUUGAAGCUAUGGUACCUUUGAAGGCAACAACAGGUAAAGGAAAACAUAAAGAACAAAAAAUAUGUGUGGAAUUGCUUGACUUUCCUUCGUUUGUGAGAUAUGACAGCUUAAGUGUGACUUACCAGCCAUUUUGUAGCAUAGCAGCUGCAGCUCCUCUCUGAGAAGGUGGCUACUGCCUCGAAACUGAAGAAACCGGAUAUAGUAAUUGCAUGAAACAAGUAGAGCCUAACAAAUCUGUGUAAAACUGUGUGCAUGCCUAGAAAAACUAAAGCUUUCUGCCCACAGUAAGGCCACAUGGCACCAUUUUACUAAACUGGGUGGUGCAUAUUUUUGAUUGAGCUGAGCCACACCUUUCAUUCCAGCCACACCUUUAAUUGCUGCAGCAGCAAGGUAGCUAAACAGAAAGUCAGCAACAUUCCUUCAAAUUUUUCUUGAAAAAACCAUUACUGUUUCACUUUU